AAAGUCCCAAACAGAAGAGGGGCAUCUGACAGACCGGGGCAAGUCGUUUGACCGGUUGAGAUUAUUCAAACUUAGGUUGAAUUCAGAUAAGUGCACUAUCAGAGUGCGGUCCGGUAAGAUGUUGGGGUCCUUUGUAAGGGAGGAAUCGAGGUUCAUCCUGCAAAAAAAAAAAAAAAANAAAAAAAAAAAAAAAAAAAAAAAAAAAAAAAAAAAAA
rnacentral:lncRNA from 1 species